rnacentral:lncRNA from 1 species
GAAAAUUUUGUCUCACAUUUACAGAUCACUGUUGGAAAAUCUUCUCCCUUUUAGCCCUGCCAUCACCUGGACUGAGAGGGUCAUCAGACCCUUAAUACCUUCUUUAGGAUUUAUGAGCCUUGGGGGCCUACUUUUGACUUGUUUUUGUAUUGCUAUCUCCACAAAAGGGACUUUUUUUUUUUUUUUGGUAACUCUCAUUCUUAUUUUAGUAGAGACCCAACGGGACCCACUGCCUUAAAUGUCAUUUACCGAGCUGUUAAGUGAAAUAGGGACAUGUGUCAACCACAUCUGUUAGCUCUAGUUAACAGAAAGAAAAGGAGCUCAGUGAAGGAGUCUGGUAGUUGAACUCUUCUGGCCAGAAGCAUCUAAUUAAUACAAUUGCAAGAAGAAAGUUUUCACACUUUCAGAACAGCCUGUGAAGUUACAUUAAUUAGUUUAGCAGCCACUGUUUGACUCUCCUUGCUCCCCCACCACUGCCCCCCUCGCUUGAAGUUUAAGAAGUCAGCGUCUUCUCCCCUCCCCCAUCUUGGAGGCGGGAAAAGGGAAGAAUGAUGGAGAGACCAGAAUUCCAGCUUGGUACUCUAGUUCUGCAGGCUGUAUCUUUCCUUUCUACAAUUCUUGUUAGAACGGCAACCUUUUUAAGAGACCAAGUUCCCGAUAGUUGCAGUACCUGGCGAGAAACCUUUCAGAUGUGAGUUCGAGGGCUGUGAGCGGCGUUUCGCCAACAGCAGCGACCGCAA